AUCUUCCAAGACGUCCAAGACAUCAAAUAAGUAACAUGUUAAAGAAAACCUGUGGAUCAAAGGCAGUUAAACAGUCUUAUGAUUUAAUGAUUGUAAUCAGUUAACAUAAUCCGAAAUUGAAUCUUCUAAACAGAUUGUAUUUGAAAACAAAGUAAUUCAUGUUGACCCAUAUCACAAAAGGCAUAAGCAGUAACAACAACAACAAUAUAGAUAUCUCAAAUACAAUCUGUUUAGAAGAUUAAAUGCAAGAAAUGCAUGAAGACUGUGUUAAACUGACUUGAUCCACAGGUUUGCUUUAACAUGUUACAUGGUAUUUGUGUUGUUGUGCUAUCUUGUACUAAGCUAUGUAUUGCUACGCUAAUUUGACAGGUAUACUGAUCACCUGGCAUACAGAAAAUUAAACCCCUGAUCUCAUGGGUAUGCCAGGUACAAGGGGGUGCCAUUGUUGCCUGUAUUCAGAUUUUUUCCAAUGACAUGGAUGCCAGCCUUUUCAUAAGGACUCACUUCUUGUUGAAUGAUUACAGUGAUGGUCUGAAUGGCAUGGUCUGAACCCUUCUUGUACCAGGCAUUUAUCGGGGGGCCUCCUGUUCCUUCAUUGAGAUUAACACCAACACAGGUAUAACCCUGUAUCUGAAGGAUUUCCUCUUCCUCAUUGUUAGUGGAGACAUCAAGGAGAUUGAUGCUUUGGGACUGUGUUAGAGAAUGACGAUACCAAAGAAAGAUAGAGCGUUCUCCUGCAUCUCGAUUCACAUUUUCAUCCACACGGGUGUAGCCCUGGGAAAAAUACUCGUUAUCAAAUGUAAAAGAGGUAGUUGCCUUGAUGUCAGAGAUGUACAUUUUCUUCUCUUUCUUCACCCAAACAUGGAUCCAGUUGUCAUUAGCAUUGCGAUUCAGGUCACACGCCAGUCGUUCCCAGCCAUUCUGGUAAUUUUGGGCUUCAUCUGUUGCAUCUGUGGUGACCUUAAGUUCCACUAUAGGGUUGUCAUACUUAGUUGUACCUUUGUAGCACCAGAGAAAGAUGUUAUCUCCUCCAGCCCCUGCAUUGAGGUCUUUAUCCACCUUAUGGUAACCUGCGUUCCUCAAACCAAUUUGCAUUUCAUCUGUGAAUGUAACCUGCAAUCUGGUGAUGGGAUUGCUGCUUCCCUUCUUGUACCAGAGGUAAAUAUUAUUUCCUCCAGCACCUUUGUUCAGAUUAACAUUGAUUAUUUUGAAACUUUGGUUUCUUAGGCCUUGCUCCUGUUCAGGAUUAAUGGAAACAUCAAUAUCUGUGAUGUACGGCAUCCUGAGUUUGGUGUCUGAAGAGGACUGUGUAGGUACCUGAACAAAAC
ensembl:lncRNA